GGAAACGGAUAGAGCUGACGUAUCUAGCUUGUAUUCAGCUGUUCGCCUGGCCGGAGUUGGUUGUUUUAGACUCGCUAUGAGAUGAAGCAAUUAACUGCCGUUUCGCAACCGGCCAGUAACGAGCAGUGCAUUUGCAAGUGGAGUGCGCCGAGGCGUGCUGGUUAGCGAUUGGAAGCUAGUUUAGAGGAUAUUCGUUUCGGCGAGUAAACCCUGGAUUGGUGAAAAAUUGUUUGGCUGGCAUUGUAAUGUUUGCGGGUAUGGCCUACGUGCUUAUUAUUUGUUGGUUGGGUGUCUGGUGGCGGUCGCUUGCGACACGUGCCUGUUCUAUUUAGCUAACUUGUGGUGAGUACUCAUGCCCCGGACCUCGGUGUAAAAGUUGGUCAUCUAUCCGACCCGUCUUGAAACACGGACCAAGGAGUUUAGCGUGUGCGCGAGUCAUUGAGUGUUAAAAACUUAAAGGCGUAAUGAAAGUAAAGGCAUUUUUAAUAAUGCUUAUAUGCGAUCCGGUUGGUUUCGGCCCGCCGGCGCAGCAUAGCCCCGCUCCGAUUGCUUGCAAUGGGGCGGAGGUAGAGCGUAUGCGCUGAGACCCGAAAGAUGGUGAACUAUGCCUGAGCAGGAUGAAGCCAGAGGAAACUCUGGUGGAAGUCCGAAGCGGUUCUGACGUGCAAAUCGAUCGUCUGACUUGGGUAUAGGGG
rnacentral:rRNA from 1 species